rnacentral:lncRNA from 10 species
GUGAAAUGGUGUUUGGCUUUCUUUGGGCUGUAUUUGUAGAAAUAUAUUAUUGGUAUGUGUUCCAAAAUUAUGGGAAACCCCUCUGAUUCUGAUAAGACAUAUUCUACACUAUCAGUAAUAAUUAUAAUUGUUAUAUAAAAUUGUUGUAUGCCACAGAAGUAACCCAAAUUCCUAGUUAAUUGUGUCUAACUGUGGCUGCCCUAAGACUUUGUCAUCCACAGACAAUUGUUGUCUUGUUUUGAUCCUCUUUAAAGGGUGGUUUAUAAUCAGCUAUAGGACUGACAAGUACUCUUAAAUGCAGCUCUCUGAUAACUUUGGAAAGUGUGCCAUUAAAAUAAAGAGAAGGAACUUAUAAGACUUUCUUGGAAAACUAAUGUAAUUAUAAAUAUCAAGCAAAACAGGAAUCAAUUGCAUAGACUAAACUAAUAGAACACCAAAAUAAUCUUUUUCUGAUGUUUUACUUAAAAUGUUGCUCAUCCUUUCUGUUUGGUUUUUCAGAGUCAAGAAAACUUUUCUUUUGAGCUAUCAACAGUUUUUAACAAUUGAAUAAAGCAUACCCCUAUGAGCAAAAUUUUCAGCAUAUUUCUUUCUCACUACUUGAUUUUACCAGAAUUUGGAAACUAUUUACUGACUCUACUUAUUCCUGUAAAUCAACCAGUGAUCUCUGGCUGCUGCUCAAAAGAAAAGAGGGAAAUAGG